rnacentral:lncRNA from 1 species
UUUUGUCCUGGUUUUCCUCCGUCAACCUGUACAUAACUGCACCUUCCAUUUUUUGUUGUUUUUGUCCUGCUUAAAGGCACGUUUCUUUCCUGCCAAGCUUACUGUUUAAACCAUGUUUGUGUUCUCCCAGUCAACAGCCUUAUAAUUACUGGUACUUUAAACUCUUCGGUUGCAUAUUUUUGUGAAUAAAAUCGUUUUUCUUUGGAAUAG